rnacentral:lncRNA from 10 species
GGUUGGUAGUAAAUUUAAUGCAUUAUUCUUUCUAAUUUUCUAUUUCCAAUUUAACAUCCUGGUUAGUAUUCACACAGGAUAUCCAAUAGAAAUAGAAAUGAUUGCAAAGCUAGAAAAUAAUAAAACAUAUUUAAGUUUUCUGGUAUCUGUAUAUUCUUUCAUAAUAUUGGGAUAACAAAAUUUCCCUCUAUGACGUGUUGGUGUUACAUAAAUGAAAAAAAUGAUUUUUUGGAUUUUUUUUCUAUCUCUUAUGUGCUACAACUUCUCUCCUGAUACACAAUAGAGCAAUUAUCUGACUGCGAGACAUAACCGAAUUUUGACUUUUGUUGAUAUUUCUAUUUACAUUCUUUUAUCUAUUACUCUAAAUUUAGUCAAUUGUCUAUAUAUACACAUAUAUAAACGUCUAUAUUUUAUAUAUACACAUAUAUAAACCUCUAUAUUUUAUAUAUACACAUAUAUAAACCUCUAUAUUUUAUAUAUACACAUAUAUAAACCUCUAUAUUUUAUAUAUACACAUAAAUAAACCUCUAUAUUUUAUAUAUACACGUAUAUAAACCUCUAUAUUUUAUAUAUACACGUAUAUAAACCUCUAUAUUUUAUAUAUACACGUAUAUAAAACUCUAUAUUUUAUAUAUACAUAUAUAAAACUCUAUAUUUUAUAUAUACAUAUAUAAACUCUAUAUUUUAUAUAUAUACAUAUAUAAACUCUAUAUUUUAUAUAUAUACACAUAUAAACUCUAUAUUUUAUAUAUAUACACAUAUAAACUCUAUAUUUUAUAUAUAUACACAUAUAAACUCUAUAUUUUAUAUAUAUACACAUAUAAACUCUAUAUUUUAUAUAUAUACACAUAUAAACUCUAUAUUUUAUAUAUAUACACAUAUAAACUCUAUAUUUUAUAUAUAUACACAUAUAAACUCUAUAUUUUAUAUAUAUACAUAUAUAUAUAACCGUGUUUAUAUAUAUAUAGUGCAUCUAAGCUUUUCAUACAGUUUUAGAGGGGUAUUUUAAAAUAUUAAAUGAUUUUUAAUUUGAAUUUGAAGACUAUAAAUUGUCUUUCACACAUUUUCUUUUACAUUUCCUUCUUGUUGAGCUAAGCUGUUAGAUAUUGGUUUUUCUCAUAUAAAUUUUAAUUACAAUAAUAAUUACAUUUUUCAAAAACUGACUGGUUUUACAAUAUAAUAUUCCCAAGUAGUUAUACAUUCAUUCUUACAUAUUUAACUAUUUUUUUCUGACUAAGUUACAUAUUUAACUACUUUUUUCUGACUAAGAAUAUUACUUUUUUUCUGCUUAAAAAUUUUUUUUAUUAAGAUUAUAUAAUCUAAAAAAGACUUGAAAGUUCCAAUGCAGGAGCAGAUACAGGAAUCAUUCAAUAAAAUUGGGAUUGACAACAGGUAUAAGUUUAAAAGAGGUGUACUUGAAUUCAGAUCUUAAGCCAGGACCCGAAAUUAAAAUUAAACUGUAUUUGUUGAGCAAUUCUAAGACACAUAAACCAUAGGAAUUAGGAUAAAACCAUUCAGAAAGACUACUAGUUAAUUCAAUUGAUUUUCUGUUAAUAGAAAAUGCUAAUUAAUAAGAAUUUAUUUGUAAGAUCAGGCUUGAAAGUGAAUAUGUACUUACCCAAAAUUUCACAUUCCGUCCUACAUUAUCAUAUGUGUUUGCUUUUCUCUUUUCAACAAAGCUCCUGUUCACAGAGAGCUCAUGUCAUUUCUUUUGUUGAGUCCUGUCACCUUUGCCAAUAGUUUCUCACAGACACCGAGGAAGUGAAGGAAGUGGCUUUAAUCAACUGGAAGCAACAGCAGACUAAUGUCUCAAAAUCUGAGCUUCUCGAGUGCACAAUUUCUCUCCCUUUUAAGGGCUCACAAUGCUGAAGAUUUUACAUGAAAGGGCAGUGCUUGAUUGAGCAAUCUAGGGGGUAUGUGACAGGGGCUGCAUGCACUGGUAGUCAGAGUGAAACAGAACAGAACGGGAAGUUUCCCAAUGUCCUUCCAUACAAUGUCUGGAAUCUAUGGAUAACAUCAGUUGCUAGGUCAUGGGUUGAAUUUUAACUACCAGGUUAGGUCUGGCAGGCCCAGGUCUGGUUUUGGGUCUGGUUUUGGGUCUGGUGCCUGGUGCUGGGCUGCCUGCCUUUGGUUUUGCUUCCUUGUUUCUUCUUAAAACAGGUACUGAGCAUAAAACAACAUGGGGGUGUCUCUUUCUCUCUUCUCUCAUUUCCCCCCUUUGAGACCCUCACUUAUUUUAUUAGUGGGAGUUCUCACUUUCAUUUUCACUACUUAUGUCUUCCUGUGCAAUAGAUUGAUAGUGAUUCAUAUAAUAUACUUGUGCUGAAGCAUUCUGGUGAACUAGGGUAGCAAUGAAGCUUUUUAUCAUUUGAAGAAGUACAGGUAGCAAACAAGGGAGUAGUAAGCAGGUUCCUAUUACUAUUAUAACUCCUAUUAUAAGAGUUUCAAAUCCUCCUAUUGCUGGGAACCAAGUUCCAAACAUGGCCCCAGGAUCAAAUCCCUGCCACACUUGCACAGGUACAUGUGCCAGUUUUGUUAUAUCUUUAACUAUGUCUUCAGCUAAUUGCCCCUGAUAAUCUAUGUGUAGACAGCAAUUAGUAAGGUUAAAUUUUCCACAAACCCCUCCUUCAGCUGCUAGCAAGUAGUUGAGAGCUAGUCUAUUUUGGUAGAUAGCAUUUCUCAUCUGAGUCUCUUGCCGGACAAGAACAGUCAAGGCUGGACCGGUUUUAUUAGUAAUAAUUUCUGAAACAGCUUGUAACCAUAUGAUUUGGUUGAGCAUGUAGAUGGGGAUCUGAUAUACCUAUGAGCCAUCUUGUGCCCAAGUGGUGGGCCCCUAGUAUUGUAUAUUUCUUUCAGGGGGCCAUUCAUCAUCUUUCCUGUUACCUAUGGCUAGGCUUCGCUUUUCGCAGGAAGCAUAGACAGGGAAUCCUAGGAGUUUGCCUGUUUUUAUGGGCAGUAGGAAGAAAGAUGGUUUAAUACUGCCAAUUACACAACUACCUGUCCACUGAUCAGGUAGCUUAGCAUAGGCUCUAAGUCCACAUAUCCAGUAUAACACAGUAGGGGCUGUCCAGUCCCGGUGCAAUUCUGGAUGGGCCCAAAUGGCCUGUAAUCUUGGAUAUUUACUGAAUGGAUUUUUUUUUCUGUGUGGUUUGAACUCCACCAUGUAACUGUUUUUAUGGUACCAUUAUACAGUUUCUGUCCAAGACAACUAAGCAAUCCUACAGGAUGAGUGAAUUAUUUUCCUUCUCUAGCUAUGCAAUAUUGCCCAGUAACUGAGACUUUUAGAACCCAGAAAUUGUCAGGGUGGUUCUUUUGGGCUGGGAAUUCAUCAGGAACUGGGUCCGUAGGGACUAAUUCUCAGUCUUCCCAUGGCCAUUGAUCUUCUGUUACAGUUCCUCCACAGACAUAACAUGAAGUGACUUUUAAAGACUGUGCUACAUGCUCGGCUAAUUGCAAAAACAAAUUUCUAGUUUUUCCUGGAAUCUCAGGUACUGGCACAUUUAGUUCAUCAUAGAAAGUCUGAAAUACUGGCUCUGGAGAGCAUUUUUGAACCUCCCCUUUUAUUAAGAUAUUUACUCUAGGAUCUAGUCCUUUUCCAUCAAUGCCUAGAGAUACGUGCUCUCCUUUUUCCCACUUUGGGUCUGAGGGAUUUAUAAUUAUUAAUUCUAAAGGGUAGCAGCUUCCAUUUGUGCAGGAGGGGCUGCUUUUUCCUUUUUGGAGCCAAACAAUAUCUUUUUAAUCUUUUUUCCAAGUAGCCCAGAUGAUACAAGACCAGUACUGACACACAUUUGUACAUGAAUAUGAUUCAUGGCAGACAUACUUAUUUCCUGCUGUGUAACUCUUUUCCCAAUCUCUAGAACAGCAUCCUAGUCCUUGCUGAUUACUAUUAAUAGUGGCCCAAGUGUCAAAUUUUAGAGUUUCAUGUUUGGGGACCCCUCUUUCUUCUGUUCUAGCUAUUACUUUACUUGUGUCACCUAGAAAAGGACCAGUGCUUAGUCUUAUUUCAAAAACCGUGAUCAUGGGAGGUUCAGAGGGGUCAUAGCACACAUCUGGCUGAUCACUUCUUGGAUUACAUACUUUGUACUGAGUGUUAUUAUAUAAACAGGUUCCUUUUCGAGUUCCUGGGCACUCAUAAAAACUAUAGAACAAAAAGAUUGUCUUAACUUGUUGUCCUACCUCAGUGAUCUGAUGCAUGCACUGAAAGCAGUCCUCUGUGUGGGAAGAAGCAGUGGAAGCUUUUACCACACAAGUCCGUGUCAUGAGGAAAAUAAGUCCCACGACGAUUUUCCUCAUGCUUCCACCAUGUGUAGAUCAGUCAGCUUCUGGGUGUGACUGAAGCAGGGCUUGUGGUCCUCCUCAUGGUCACUUUACGGGGAUUGUCCAGGCUUGGUUUGGCCUCCCAGGUUUCAGUGGCUGCAGGCUUUAAGCAGCUGUGGUGAAUCCAGGCCGGGAUUCCUUCCACCUUUACAGCUGUGGGAGUGGUCAGGAUAAUGGUCUGGGGUCCUUUCCACUGUGCCCGCAAAGGGGCUACGUUCCAGUCCUGGAUCCACAUACGGUCACCUGGAGAAAAAGGGUGAACUGGGGAGAAUAAGCUGACAGGGUACCUCUCAUUUACCCAAGUUGCGAUUGUCUCAGUAAUUUUCCCCAAGGCCUGUAGCUGUCACUGCAAUUCAAUUUCACCCAACUCUUGGGGAGUACCCGGAAGUCCUCGCAGUAUAGGAGGAGGCCUAUGAUAUAAUAUUUCAUAAGGGGAGUAUCCUGUUUUCUUAAAGGGGUACACCUAAUUUUAAACAAUACCAUAGGAAGGGCCUGUAUCCAUUUUAAUCCUGUCUCUUGACAUACUUUCCCUAAACUAUUUUUGAUAGUCCGAUUCAUUCGCUCCACCUUUCCGGAACUCUGAGGUCGGUAGGCAGCAUGUAACUUCCAUGUGAUUCCCAGUACCUUUGCUGUCUUCUGUACUAAGUCAGCCACAAAUGCCGGCUCAUUAUCUGAGCCGAUCCAUAGAGGCAGUCCAAACCUAGGGAUGAGAUCUCUAAGAAGCACACGGGUUACUUCACCAGCUUUUGCAGUUUGUGUCGGAUAAGCCUCUACCCACCCAGAGAUUAAUUGCCUGAACACGAAAUCUCCAACUCAACAAUGAAUGAUAAAAAUCAUGAAGUAGGGAAUUGAAAUGGUCAAGUUAUCAGUAACAGGGGGAGGUGAGUAAUAAAUUAGUUAUUUUGUAAUAGAUUCCUCUCACUCUAUUAUAAGCAGC